UUCAUAGAAUCUUGAGCUCAGAAAAUACAUCUCCUGGAUCUCUGCAGUUUCUUUGACAUACGCAGGAUGUGAUCCACAGCAUCUUCCAUUUAAAGGACCCUUCAUUGGGGCAAUCGAAUUGAAUGGAUCUUGCAACUGCACAUAGAACUGAGGGAGAGGAAGCAGAAACGUGAAGAUACCUGGAAGGCAGGCAACAGUUUAAAGACCUCAAUGCAGGAAGCAGAUUAAAAGCCUGGCACGCAUCUGCAAUAAAUAAAGGGAGUGAUUUCUGGAUGAAAACAUGGAUGUGAAUAAUAACCAGGCAUCAGUUUUGCACUUUUUAAGUCCUCCAUCGUGUGUUUCAUGUGAUGGCAUUUUUGAAACUCCUGUCUCCAGAACACCCUAGCACUGAGGUAAGACGCUAACUCAGAGCAGGCCAGAAGACACAGUAUAUGAAUGUACUGACACUAAACGGCCAGACAUUCAAGAUGAGAGAGAAAGACUCUCAUUCCAUGUUCCCCGCUACAUACAUACCUGUGGAACCUACUUAAGAAUGCCUAUGGGUGUGUUUAUUCAGAGAGAAAGAGGUUGAUAAUUAAAGGAUAAUUUUAU